rnacentral:rRNA from 1 species
GAUGAACGCUGGCGGCGUGCUUAACACAUGCAAGUCGAACGGAAAGGCCCUUGCUUGCAGGGGUACUCGAGUGCCGAACGGGUGCGUAACACGUGGGUGAUCUGCCCUGCACUUCUGUAUAAGCCUUGGAAACUGGGUCUAAUACCGGAUAGGACCAUCGUUUAGUGUCGGUGGUGGAAAGUUUUUUCGGUGUGGGAUGAGCUCGCGGCCUAUCAGCUUGUUGGUGGGGUAAUGGUCUACCAAGGCGUCGACGGGUAGCCGGCCUGAGAGGGUGUACGGCCACAUUGGGACUAAGAUACGGCCCAGACUCGUACGGGAGGCAGCAGUGGGGAGUAUUGCACAAUGGGCGAAAGCCUGAUGCAGCGACGCCGCGUGGGGGAUGACGGCCUUCGGGUUGUAAACUCCUUUCGUCAGAGACGAAGCGAAAGUGACGGUACCUGGAUAAGAAGCACCGGCUAACUACGUG